rnacentral:rRNA from 1 species
GACGAACGCUGGCGGCGUGCUUAACACAUGCAAGUCGAACGGAAAGGCCCUGCUUUUGUGGGGUGCUCGAGUGGCGAACGGGUGAGUAACACGUGAGUAACCUGCCCUUGACUUUGGGAUAACUUCAGGAAACUGGGGCUAAUACCGGAUAGGAGCUCCUUCUGCAUGGUGGGGGUUGGAAAGUUUCGGCGGUUGGGGAUGGGCUCGCGGCUUAUCAGCUUGUUGGUGGGGUAGUGGCUUACCAAGGCUUUGACGGGUAGCCGGCCUGAGAGGGUGACCGGCCACAUUGGGACUGAGAUACGGCCCAGACUCCUACGGGAGGCAGCAGUGGGGAAUAUUGCACAAUGGGCGGAAGCCUGAUGCAGCAACGCCGCGUGCGGGAUGACGGCCUUCGGGUUGUAAACCGCUUUCGCCUGUGACGAAGCGUGAGUGACGGUAAUGGGUAAAGAAGCACCGGCUAACUACGUG